rnacentral:rRNA from 1 species
UACGAAGGGUGCUAGCGUUGUUCGGAAUCACUGGGCGUAAAGCGCGCGUAGGCGGCUUUUCAAGUCAGGGGUGAAAUCCCACAGCUUAACUGUGGAACUGCCUUUGAAACUGUAAAGCUAGAGUGUCGGAGGGGAUAGCGGAAUUGCUAAUGUAGAGGUGAAAUUCGUAGAUAUUAGCAGGAACACCGGUGGCGAAGGCGGCUAUCUGGACGACAACUGACGCUGAGGCGCGAAAGUGUGGGGAGCAAACAGG